AAAAUUCUCAGCUCAAGAUUUUCUCAAAACUGUCUGAGAAUUGUCUCAGCUGAGAAAUUUCUCAAGUUGGCUUUCACUAAACUUUUUCUCAAGUCUUGAGAUUUUUCUCAGCUGAGCCGUAAUUCUUUAAGACAUAAGCGGCCAAACAUCCAAGGAGCCGCGUGAACUUUCCCACGAACACGAGUGCAUAGUUGGGGGCAGUGGAUUUAUUCAUUUAUUGAGACGAAAUGAAGCGUUGAGAAAUGUUCAUAAACAACAUGUACAGUUUCGGGAUAUAUCCAAAUUGUCACAGCCAGCUGAUGAAGAUCCUCAGCUUAUACAGAGGUCAGGCUUGAGCUAUGUGCUGAUUCAAAAGAUGCUAAUGACAGUGGAUAAUCCAUUCUGAGCUGUUCUAGGACCAUUCACCAACGUUCCAAAACACUGAUGGAACUGAAGGCAGUACCUGUAUUGGUGUCUGGCCUGUGAUUUCAAGUAUAAUUGAUGUACCUCCUCCUGAUGUAUCUCCUUGAAUACAAUAUAUCUGCCAUGUGAAAGGAACAAGCUGCAAGAUAUACUGUGGAAGUGGGGGCCUAUGUAAAAAACAUUUUAUUUAAAGAAUAUAAGAAAUCUGACACUAAACUACUGAAAAGGUGCACAGGGGACAUUUUUGUGUGUAUAGACUUUCAUCAAGAUUCUGAGAAAGUUGAUUUAUUAAACAAAAAUAGUCAAAUUGUGUCUUCAAAGCUGAAAAGAUUAAGAUCUUAGGAAAACAUUAGGA